GCUCUGUGGCGCAAUGGAUAGCG
rnacentral:piRNA from 1 species